rnacentral:lncRNA from 1 species
GGCAAAUCUAUCAUACCCUGCCUCAAUUCCAAGGUGCAACCUGUCAUAAAUUAUGAACUUGACACCCAUGAAUAUGGUUGAUGGAAUGAAGGACAAAAUUCAUUAAUCGAUAAAAUUACAUAAAUUCAUCGUGUUCUUGCUUUCGAGUUUCUUUUUCAACCUCACCUUGGGGUAUAACAAUUACCCAUUUCCCUUACACAAUCCCUCAUCACUUAGGAGUUUUUUUACAAUGUUGAAUCAAUGAUUAUUAUUAUCGUGCUCUGCUACUUUGCUAUCAUUCGCCUCUUUACUAAGGCGGUGAGACAUAACUAAAGAUUAUGCUUUGUCAGUUGCAAUUAAUUAAAAAGUAUCAUAUAUGUAUUCCUAAAAUCCAUCUUAUUGUAAUAUGAAAAAUUUAGUGAUUGCUAUACCGCAUCGUAUUCUUACCAGAUUCUGAUGCCUUCUCUGUUGAAAUAGUAGCUGCACCACCCUCCAUUUUUCUCUAAGAACUAUCAAAUUAAACUGAAGAAACACAAUCCAAAUGCAAACCAAACAGUUUUGGAUUCAAUCAAAUGUCAAAAAUAUAGUGUUGUAUAAGGAAAGAUUAUAUUGCAAACCUAAAGGCAAAAAUAUGGAAGAUGACAAAAUUAAGACAUGUCAAGUUGAAAUGUGAUGUAUAUCUUCUUGAUCCUCCUAUUUCAGAAAUUCAGGGGGAAGAAAAUUCUAUUGUUGUUCUAGAAAAUCUACAAACCGUCUCAAGGAUAUAUACUUUUAGGUUGACGGAGGAGGUCCUCUAAAGAAUCCCAAAUCUACGGAAAUUGGGUAUCCAUUAUGAUUUUAUUGUGGUGGCCAGUAGGGAGAAAUUCUGUAUCAAUAAUCUUGCGUAUCACUUUUUCGACGUCUCUCAAAAAGUUGAUGUUAGACGGCAUAGAAUUUCAUCCCAAAGAUUAUCUCAAACUUCAUCCCGAUGAAUUGAAGAUUCUUGGUAAGUUGCCCAAACUGGAAGUGCUGAAAUUGAAACGCUGUGCCUUCAAUGAACUAGAGUGGGAACUAGAAAUUGGUAAGGAGAAUUUCUCAAAUUGAAAUUUCUGCUGUUACACGAUGUUCAUCUGAAGCACUAGAGAGUUGAGAGCAUCCACUUCCCGAGUCUCGAGCGGCUAGUUAUUUCGAUUAGGGCUUGCAGAGAACUGGAUGAGAUCCCUAGUGGUUCUGGGGAAAUUUCAACUCUUCAAUCCAUCUAAUUGAUUCUAAGUCCGCUUGAUCGGGGCAUUUCAACCCUUGGUGAUUCAAUUGUAGAAUCAGCAAAGAAAAUAGAAGAGGAACAAUUUAGUUGGGGAAACCAUGCAUUCAAGUUAUAUAUUAAGGAAUAAUAAAUGUGGAAAGAUUCAAAAUUGUCCAUUUCAAUCAUUUACAGGUACCAUUUUCUUUUGUGAACCUUUUCCAUUUUCACUUUUGGCUUUCUUGUGUUCAUUUACAUUCUUACUUUACUG